rnacentral:hammerhead_ribozyme from 1 species
AUCCAUAUGAGGAGUCCUAUAUAGGACGAAACGUGAGUCCUGGAU